rnacentral:rRNA from 1 species
GACGAACGCUGGCGGCGUGCUUAACACAUGCAAGUCGAACGGAAAGGCCCUGCUUUUGUGGGGUGCUCGAGUGGCGAACGGGUGAGUAACACGUGAGUAACCUGCCCUUGACUUUGGGAUAACUUCAGGAAACUGGGGCUAAUACCGGAUAGGAGCUCCUGCUGCAUGGUGGGGGUUGGAAAGUUUCGGCGGUUGGGGAUGGACUCGCGGCUUAUCAGCUUGUUGGUGGGGUAGUGGCUUACCAAGGCUUUGACGGGUAGCCGGCCUGAGAGGGUGACCGGCCAAAAUGGGAACUGGAAUCCGGCCAGACUUCCUCCGGAGGGAGGAAGUGGGGAUAAUGGCACAAGGGGCGAAGCCUGAAGCCGCAACCGCGGCGGGGGGGAUAAGGGCCUUGGGUUGGAAACCGGUUUCCGCUGGGGACGAGGCUUAGGGGCGGGAAAUGGGAAAGGAGGCACGGCUAACUAAGGG